rnacentral:rRNA from 1 species
GACCGGCGAACGGGUGCGUAACACGUGAGCGACCUUGCCUCGUGGUGGGGGAUAGCCGGCCCAACGGCCGGGUAAUACCGCAUAGGGUGGUUUUCUCGCAUGGGAGAACUAGCAAAGCAAUGCAUGGCGCCACAGGGGGGGCUCGCGGCCUAUCAGCUAGUUGGGGGGGUAAUGGCCCACCAAGGCGACGACGGGUAGCUGGUCUGAGAGGAUGGCCAGCCACAUUGGGACUGAGAGACGGCCCAGACUCCUACGGGAGGCAGCAGUGGGGAAUCUUGCGCAAUGGCCGAAAGGCUGACGCAGCGACGCCGCGUGGGGGAGGAAGGCCUUCGGGUUGUAAACCCCUGUUGCCCGGGACGAAUGUGCGCUUCAGAGCGUAUUGACGGUACCGGGUGAGGAAGCACCGGCUAACUCCGUGCCAGCAGCCGCGGUAAUACGGGGGGUGCGAGCGUUGUCCGGAAUCACUGGGCGUAAAGGGCGCGUAGGUGGUUUGAUAAGGGUGUGGUGAAAGUCCGGGGCUCAACCCCGGAUCUGCCGUGCCGACUGUCAAACUCGAGGGCUGUAGAGGCAGACGGAAUUCCGGGUGUAGCGGUGGAAUGCGUAGAGAUCCGGAGGAAGACCGGUGGCGAAGGCGGUCUGCUGGGCAGUUUC